UAGUGUAGAGUAGAGUAGAGUAGUGUAGAGUAGAGUAGAGUAGAGUAGAGUAGAGUAGAGUAGAGUAGUGUAGAGUAGAGUAGAGUAGAGUAGUAUAGAGUAGAGUAGAGUAGAGUAGAGUAGAGUAGAGUAGAGUAGAGUAGAGUAGAGUAGAGUAGAGUAGAGUAGAGUAGUGUAGAGUAGAGUAGAGUAGUGUAGAGUAGAGUAGAGUAGAGUAGAGUAGAGUAGAGUAGAGUAGAGUAGUGGAGAGUAGUGUAGUGUGGAGUAGAGUAGAGUAGAGUAGUGUAUAGUAUAGUACAGUAAAGUAGAGUAGUGUAUAGU
ensembl:lncRNA